rnacentral:rRNA from 2 species
AGAGUUUGAUCAUGGCUCAGGACGAACGCUGGCGGCGUGCCUAAUACAUGCAAGUCGAGCGAACCAAUAAGAAGCUUGCUUUUUGUUGGUUAGCGGCGGACGGGUGAGUAACACGUGGGUAACCUGCCUGUAAGACCGGGAUAACUCCGGGAAACCGGUGCUAAUACCGGAUAGAUUAUCUUUCCGCCUGGAGAGAUAAGGAAAGAUGGCUAUUGCCAUCACUUACAGAUGGGCCCGCGGCGCAUUAGCUAGUUGGUGAGGUAACGGCUCACCAAGGCGACGAUGCGUAGCCGACCUGAGAGGGUGAUCGGCCACACUGGGACUGAGACACGGCCCAGACUCCUACGGGAGGCAGCAGUAGGGAAUCUUCCGCAAUGGACGAAAGUCUGACGGAGCAACGCCGCGUGAGCGAAGAAGGUCUUCGGAUCGUAAAGCUCUGUUGUUAGGGAAGAACAAGUAU